rnacentral:rRNA from 1 species
AAAUAAGAGGUCCCGCCUGCCCAGUGACUUAAAGUUUAACGGCCGCGGUAUUUUGACCGUGCAAAGGUAGCGCAAUCACUUGUCUUUUAAAUGGAGACCUGUAUGAAUGGCAUCACGAGGGCUUGACUGUCUCCUUUCUUAAGCCAAUGAAAUUGAUCUCCCCGUGCAGAAGCGGGGAUAAGAACAUAAGACGAGAAGACCCUAUGGAGCUUUAGAUACCAAGAUGGCCCACGUCAAGAAACCCCCUACAAGGGGCUGAACUAGGUGGACCCUAUCCUAAUAUCUUCGGUUGGGGCGACCCUGGGGAAGUAAGAAACCCCCAUGCGGAGUGGAGGCAUUGCCUUCAGAACCAAGAGCUACGACUCUAGGAGGCAGAAUUUCUGACCGAUCCGGCGAAGCCGAUCAACGAACCGAGUUACCCUAGGGAUAACAGCGCAAUCUCCUCCUAGAGUCCUUAUCGACGAGGGGGUUUACGACCUCGAUGUUGGAUCAGGACAUCCUAAUGGUGCAGCCGCUAUUAAGGGUUCGUUUGUUCAACGAUUAAAGUCCU